GACGAACGCUGGCGGCGUGCUUAACACAUGCAAGUCGAACGGAAAGGCCCUGCUUGCCGGGUGCUCGAGUGGCGAACGGGUGAGUAACACGUGGGUGAUCUGCCCCUUACUUUGGGAUAAGCCUGGGAAACUGGGUCUAAUACUGGAUAGGACCAUGCUGUAGGUGGUGUGGUGGAAAGAUUAGUUUCGGUAAGGGAUGAGCUCGCGGCCUAUCAGCUUGUUGGUGGGGUAAUGGCCUACCAAGGCGUCGACGGGUAGCCGGCCUGAGAGGGUGGACGGCCACAUUGGGACUGAGAUACGGCCCAGACGCCUACGGGAGGCAGCAGUGGGGAAUAUUGCACAAUGGGCGCAAGCCUGAUGCAGCGACGCCGCGUGGGGGAUGACGGCCUUCGGGUUGUAAACUCCUUUCAGCCAUGACGGAGCCCUUGUGGUGACGGUAGUGGUAGAAGAAGCACCGGCUAACUACGUG
rnacentral:rRNA from 1 species